GAUGAACGCUGGCGGCGUGCCUAACACAUGCAAGUCGAGCGAACGGACGAGAAGCUUGCUUCUCUGAUGUUAGCGGCGGACGGGUGAGUAACACGUGGAUAACCUACCUAUAAGACUGGGAUAACUUCGGGAAACCGGAGCUAAUACCGGAUGAUAUUUUGAACCGCAUGGUUCAAAAGUGAAAGACGGUCUUGCUGUCACUUAUAGAUGGAUCCGCGCUGCAUUAGCUAGUUGGUAAGGUAACGGCUUACCAAGGCAACGAUGCAUAGCCGACCUGAGAGGGUGAUCGGCCACACUGGAACUGAGACACGGUCCAGACUCCUACGGGAGGCAGCAGUAGGGAAUCUUCCGCAAUGGGCGAAAGCCUGACGGAGCAACGCCGCGUGAGUGAAGAAGGUCUUCGGAUCGUAAAACUCUGUUAUUAGGGAAGAACAUAUGUGUAAGUAACUGUGCACAUCUUGACGGUACCUAAACAGAAAGCCACGGCUAACUACGUG
rnacentral:rRNA from 1 species